AGGACGAACGCUGGCGGCGUGCUUAACACAUGCAAGUCGAGCGGUAAGGCUCCUUCGGGAGUACACGAGCGGCGAACGGGUGAGUAACACGUGAGCAAUCUGCCCUUCACAUCGGGAUAACCCCCGGAAACGGGAGCUAAUACCGGAUACGACCACUUCAGGCAUCUGAUGGUGGUGGAAAGUUCUGGCGGUGAAGGAUGAGCUCGCGGCCUAUCAGCUUGUUGGUGAGGUAAUGGCUCACCAAGGCUUCGACGGGUAGCCGGCCUGAGAGGGUGACCGGCCACACUGGGACUGAGACACGGCCCAGACUCCUACGGGAGGCAGCAGUGGGGAAUAUUGGACAAUGGGCGAAAGCCUGAUCCAGCAACGCCGCGUGAGGGAUGACGGCCUUCGGGUUGUAAACCGUCUUUCAGCAGGGACGAAGCGCAGUGACGGUACCUGCAGAAGAAGCACCGGCCAACUACGCGUCAGCAGCCGCGGU
rnacentral:rRNA from 1 species